GAUGAACGCUGGCGGCGUGCCUAAUACAUGCAAGUCGAGCGAACAGACAAGGAGCUUGCUCCUCUGACGUUAGCGGCGGACGGGUGAGUAACACGUGGAUAACCUACCUAUAAGACUGGGAUAACUUCGGGAAACCGGAGCUAAUACCGGAUAAUAUAUUGAACCGCAUGGUUCAAUAGUGAAAGACGGUUUUGCUGUCACUUAUAGAUGGAUCCGCGCCGCAUUAGCUAGUUGGUAAGGUAACGGCUUACCAAGGCAACGAUGCGUAGCCGACCUGAGAGGGUGAUCGGCCACACUGGAACUGAGACACGGUCCAGACUCCUACGGGAGGCAGCAGUAGGGAAUCUUCCGCAAUGGGCGAAAGCCUGACGGAGCAACGCCGCGUGAGUGAUGAAGGUCUUCGGAUCGUAAAACUCUGUUAUUAGGGAAGAACAAAUGUGUAAGUAACUAUGCACGUCUUGACGGUACCUAAUCAGAAAGCCACGGCUAACUACGUG
rnacentral:rRNA from 1 species